AGGAAAUGAGCCAUGGGUGAGCAAGCAUUACCACCUGAGCUCCGCCUUCUGUCAGAUCACUGGGGGCAUUAGAUUCUCACUGGAGCACAAACCCUGUUGUGAACCGUGCAUGUAAGGGAUCUAGUUUGCAUGCUCCUUAUAAGGAGCAUAUAUCUAAUGCCUGAUCUGUCACUGUCUCCCAUCGCCUCCAGAUGGGACUGUCUAGUUGCAGGAAAACAAGCUCAGGGCUCCCAACUGAUUCUACAUUAUGGUGAGUUGUAUAAUUGCUUCAUUAUAUAUUACAAUGUAAUAAUAAUAGAAAUAAAGUGUGCAAUAAAUGUCAUGUGCUUGAAUCAUCCUGAAACCAUCUCCCGUUUCUCCUGCCUGGUCCGUGGAAAAAGUGUCUUCCAUGAAACCGGUCCCUGGUGCCAAAAAGGUUGGGGACCACUGCCCUAACACAUGGAAAAGGCCUAGAAGCCAGGUCCCUGCAGCACUCUCCCCUGGCCUCCCAUUGGACUUUCUAGAGGUUAGAGUACAGAGCGCAUUCCCUAACGGUGCAAAACCCAAGGUAAGGAGCCCAUGGCAGGUGGCCUCUCCUGGGAUUACCUGUCUCCUGUGUAAGGAUGAGGGCAGUUACAGGAAGCUCCUUUGGGGGAGAGGAUGCAAGUUCCACCUUCCAGGCAGGGUGCAAAAGUACAGUUCUCCCUUCCUUGUUCACAGUGCUUCCCAGAGAACUGUGGGGGACAUUUGCAGACAUAGCCUGGGAGAAAAAGAAGGGAGGUGAGAGACCGCACUGGCCUAGCAGUUAAAGGAGACCUGGCAUUGGCAGACUGGUGUGUUUGUGCAGCCGUUCAGUUACCAUUUAUUUAUUUGGUUGCUCCCCUCUGUGCCCAAUACCGUGCUGGGCAUUGGUGCCCUGCUGAACAAGAGCACUUUGGUCCCUGCCCUCAAACAGCUUACAGCCCACCAGAGACAACAGUCACCUAAAGAACAGUAAUAAACAGGAUAACAACCAUAGACACUAACUUAGUGCUAGUCACUGUUCCAAGGAUCUUCCUGUGUUGGCUCAUUUGAUCCUCACGAUGACCCUGAGGUUGGUGACUGUCAUCAUCCUCAUCAGGGGACAGGUACAAAGGGAUGGCAGAUGAGGAAAGGAGGCACAGAGAAUGGACAGAAUUUGCUCAAGCCAGUAAAUGGCAAAGCUGGGGUUCAAACCUAGACAGCUAGCUAUAAUAUCAGUAUCUCAGUAAUUAUAAUAAAAUUAGUUUUAUUGAAGGGAAAUGCUGGGAGGGGUGGGGGAUGAGGCUAGCUUACUCUAGGGAUCUGGGAGCUAUUUCAUUUGAGAUCUGAAGGAUGAGUAGAAAUUAGCUAGGCAAGAAGCUAGAGGGCAAAGAGAAAGGUGUUUCAGGCGGAAGAGAAGAGUGUGUGCAAAGGCUAGGGAAGGGUGUGGCAUGGUCAAGGAACUCAAACCACACCAGGGUGGGCCAGCCUGGUGAGGGACAGGGAGAGUUUGAACUAUGGCCUGGGAGGUGCAGGAGCCACAUGCAGGGAUUGGGACUCUAUCCUAACAGCACGGCGGCCACUGAGCAGUUCUCAGCAGAAGAGUGCCAUGCACAGGUCUGUGCUGGAUAAAGAUCACCCCGGCUCCUGCUGGAAGGUGGAAGGCCGGGAUAGAAGCUGGAGAACAGGGAGGAGGCUGGUGCCAGGGUGAGAGGUGAUGGGGGCUUGGGACAGAGGGACAGCAGUGGGGAAAGAGAGAAGUGAUGGAUUCCUUGGAUAUUUUGCAGGUAGAAAUGACAUGAUUAGCCAGACAAAAAUCAGAAAAAGGGGUAAUGCGAAGUGUUGACAGGCAUGUCACAUGUUGACAGGCAUGUGGGUACAUAGGAACCUCUCAUGUUGUGUGUGAUGUAUAGAAUAGAUGGCUGAGAGGCAUGUGGGUACACAGGAACCUCUCAUGUUGCGUGUGAUGUAUAGAAUAGCCAUGCUGAGAGCAAUGUAUCCCUAUUUAGUCAAAAUAAUUAUUUGCAUACUGUGAGCCUGUGACUUCCACCCCUGGGUGUCGGGUGUGUGUGUGUGAAGGAAACUCUCACACAGCUUCACAAGGAGACAUAUAGGAGAAUGCUCCCUGCAGCAUUGAUGAUGGAGAUGGGUGUUUGGAGUGCGAGGGUGGAGAGGGAAAAUGUGAGUGCGUGUACAUCAUGGAGUACUGAGCCACAGUUAGAAGCAAUUAAUGAGAAUUGCUCAUGGCAGCAUUGACAGAUCUUAAAAAUAUGGUGCUGAGCGAAAGCGUAAACAACAUAUACCACUUAUAUAAAUUGGAAAUUCAAGCAUAUGAAAAACAACAUGUAUUUUGCAAGAACUCAUUCAAAAACUGUAAAUGUUUGCCUCUAGUGUUAGGGAAGGGGAAGGGAGUGGAAUAUAAGUUAAAGGGGAAUGAGAAGGAGACUGUGCAUAGACCAGUGAUGACACUAAGGUAUGUGAUUAAUUCAACCCUCUGUCCCUGAGGUCCCCAUUCAUAUCCUCCCUCGUCCCCCCAGAAGUAGAAAGAUAGUUUUUGUUGAGAGGGAAGGAAGACUCCUGGCUUCCCCUAGUCUAGAUAUUGCAGAUUCCAACCUGUUACUCACAAGAUAGGGGAAGAGAGAGAAAUUUCGAACCAGGAGGCUCUGAGAUCUCCACCCUGACAUGCCUUUCCCACCUGAAGAGCCUUCUGGGAUAAACCCUGGGUUCAGCCUGGCACCCCAGCCCUCACCUGCCCCGUGGGUCCAUGAGCACUUCCCACCAUUGAGGCAUGGGUUCUGGCUGCAGUAGUCACUGUGGAGGCAGCACUGGGUGAGGGCUUGUGUCUCCAGCAAGCCUGCCACCGUCUUGCCAGGGGCCAGCAGAUCUAGAGCCUCUUCGUUGACCACGACAGCAUCCAGGCAGCCUUCAAAGCCCUGGGAGACAUUCGAGGAAGAAUGCAACAGAAUGAGGCCGCCCAGCAAGAGGUGCCUUUCGGGCCUCAGACCACGGCAGUUCUCUGGGACCACAAGGGAGGUGUUGCCCAUGCUGUCAACCAUCAGGCGAAUGGAAGCGUCCAUCUCCUCCACCAGGAUGGAGUGCCACUCGUGGUCAUUCACAUGGCGCUGGGAGGAAAGGUUUCCAUAGAAACCACCCAGACAGUGGUAUUCCAGCUGGGGCACUCCACUGGCCAGCUGCAAAGGAAACCCAAACAGCCAUCAGCAAAGCCAAGGAGUCCUUGUAAACCUGCUAAGAGGCUGCCAGUUCAAAGAAUGUUGUUUGUAUUUUUAUGGGUAGGAGGGGGGUGUUUGGCUGUUUUAGACAUGGCAUUUGCAGAGCAUAAAAACCCUCAAAGUG
rnacentral:antisense_RNA from 1 species